rnacentral:rRNA from 1 species
UACGUAGGGGGCGAGCGUUGUCCGAAUUUACUGGGCGUAAAGCGCGCGUAGGCGGUUUCUUAAGUCUGGGGUGAAAGGUUCAACGCUCAACGUGAACAGUGCCUUGGAUACUGGGAGACUUGAGUCUGGGAGGGGGUAGUGGAAUUCCUGGUGUAGCGGUGAAAUGCGUAGAUAUCAGGAGGAACACCGGUGGCGAAGGCGCUCAUCUGGCCCAAUACUGACGCUGAGGCGCGAAAGCUAGGGGAGCAAACGGG